rnacentral:rRNA from 1 species
UCUUCCCUCUGGCGGCGUGCUUAACACAUGCAAGUCGAACGGAAAGGCCGAAGCUUGCUUCGGUACUCGAGUGGCGAACGGGUGAGUAACACGUGGGUGAUCUGCCCUGUACUUCGGGAUAGGCUUGGGAAACUGGGUCUAAUACCGGAUAUGACGAUCUCUUGGAUGGGGUUGUGGAAAGCUUUUGCGGUAUGGGAUGAGCUCGCGGCCUAUCAGCUUGUUGGUGGGGUAAUGGCCUACCAAGGCGUCGACGGGUAGCCGGCCUGAGAGGGUGUACGGCCACAUUGGGACUGAGAUACGGCCCAGACUCCUACGGGAGGCAGCAGUGGGGAAUAUUGCACAAUGGGCGCAAGCCUGAUGCAGCGACGCCGCGUGGGGGAUGACGGCCUUCGGGUUGUAAACUCCUUUCGCAAUCGACGAAGCCUUUUGGUGACGGUAGGUUGAGAAGAAGCACCGGCUAACUACGUG